rnacentral:rRNA from 1 species
CCAGAGAACUUAGCAGAGAUGCUUUGGUGCCUUCGGGAACUCUGAGACAGGUGCUGCAUGGCUGUCGCCAGCUCGUGUUGUGAAAUGUUGGGUUAAGUCCCGCAACGAGCGCAACCCUUAUCCUUUGUUGCCAGCGGCUCGGCCGGGAACUCAAAGGAGACUGCCGGUGAUAAACCGGAGGAAGGUGGGGAUGACGUCAAGUCAUCAUGGCCCUUACGGCCAGGGCUACACACGUGCUACAAUGGCGCAUACAAAGAGAAGCGACCUCGCGAGAGCAAGCGGACCUCACAAAGUGCGUCGUAGUCCGGAUUGGAGUCUGCAACUCGACUCCAUGAAGUCGGAAUCGCUAGUAAUCGUAGAUCAGAAUGCUACGGUGAAUACGUUCCCGGGCCUUGUACACACCGCCCGUCACACCAUGGGAGUGGGUUGCAAAAGAAGUAGGUAGCUUAACCUUCGGGAGGGCGCUUACCACUUUGUGAUUCAUGACUGGGGUGAAGUCGUAACAAGGUAAGCGUAGCGAG